rnacentral:rRNA from 1 species
AGAUUGAACGCUGGCGGCAUGCCUUACACAUGCAAGUCGAACGGCAGCACGGGAGCAAUCCUGGUGGCGAGUGGCGAACGGGUGAGUAAUAUAUCGGAACGUGCCCAGUCGUGGGGGAUAACGCAGCGAAAGCUGUGCUAAUACCGCAUACGAUCUAUGGAUGAAAGCGGGGGAUCGCAAGACCUCGCGCGAUUGGAGCGGCCGAUAUCAGAUUAGCUAGUUGUGGGGUAAAAGCCUACCAAGGCGACGAUCUGUAGCUGGUCUGAGAGGACGACCAGCCACACUGGAACUGAGACACGGUCCAGACUCCUACGGACGGCAGCGAGUCGGGGAAUUUUUGGGAACAAUGGGACGCUAAGCCUAGAUCCAGCAAUGCCGCGUUGCGAGAGUAGAAG